ACGCUGAGGAGCGAAAGCUAGGGGAGCAAACAGGAUUAGAUACCCUGGUAGUCCUAGCUGUAAACGUUGGGCACUAGGUGUGGCGGAUUGAUUGACGUCUGCCGUGCCGUAGCAAACGCAUUAAGUGCCCCGCCUGGGGAGUACGGUCGCAAGGCUAGAACUCAAAGGAAUUGACGGGGCCCCGCACAAGCGGCGGAGCAUGCGGCUCAAUUCGAUGAAACCCGAAGAACCUCACCUGGACUUGACAUUACGGGAAAAGCCGUGGAAACACGGUGUGCGUAAGCGUCCGUAACAGGUGGUGCAUGGCUGUCGUCAGCUCGUGUCGUGAGAUGUUGGGUUAAGUCCCGCAACGAGCGCAACCCCUGUCCUAUGUUGCCAGCGGAUCAUGCCGGGGACUCAUAGGAGACUGCCGGGGACAACUCGGAGGAAGGCGGGGAUGACGUCAAGUCAUCAUGCCCCUUAUGUCCAGGGCUGCACGCAUGCUACAAUGGCGAGUACAACGGGUCGCGAACCCGCGAGGGGGAGCCAAUCCCUGAAAACUCGUCUCAGUUCGGAUUGGAGUCUGCAACUCGACUCCAUGAAGCCGGAGUCGCUAGUAAUCGCGGAUCAGCUAUGCCGCGGUGAAUACGUUCUCGGGGCUUGUACACACCGCCCGUCACAUCACGAAAGUCGGCAACACCCGAAGUCAGUGGCCCAACCCCUCGGGGAGGGAGCUGCCGAAGGUGGGGUUGGCGAUUGGGAUGAAGUCGUAACAAGGUAACCGUA
rnacentral:rRNA from 1 species